GAAGGUACAGCUAAGUGGAACAGCAUGUGCUUAGCAUGCAGAAGGUCCUGGGUUAAAUUCCCAGUAUCUCCA
rnacentral:tRNA from 1 species